GAACAUCGCACGCAAACCUGACUAGUAUAUACUCCUAAACAGGGACCUGCUAGCUCGGAGAAAAGUAGCACACGGUGUGCCACACACGCGCGCGCGUGUGUUUGUUUGACUCUUGACCUAGCUAGUCACCCAUUCGAAGGUUUCUUUCUUGGGUUCAGCAAAUAGCUAUCUGUAUAUAAUUGGAGGAGUUUCAGGCGGAGAACGAAGAAGCAAAAUCAAGCAAAGCCAAACAACAUGAAGAUGAUCAAGGAUCCCCCACCGGAGAUCUCCUUCGAUGCCCACCCCACGCACAGGCUCAAGCUGGUGAUGCCUGCCGCCGCCGGCGAACAGCCGUUCUGGUGCGACGGCUGCAAGGAGCCCGGCGGCGGCAAGGGGCGCCGGUACCGGUGCGGCGGCGGCUGCGACUUCGACCUCCACGAGUGCUGCGCCCUCGCGGAGCCCACCCUGAAGCACCCCUUGCUCGGCGACGACCUCGAGUUCAAGCUCCUCCUCCCCGAGGCGGCGGCGGCGGCGGCGGUGCCCCCGGCCUGCACCGCCUGCGGCUGCGCUGCAUCAGGGCUCGUCUACCACUGCUCCAACAAGAAGCAGGGCCUCUACCUCCACCCGUGCUGCGCGGCGCUGAGGAUGGAGAGCUUCCUCCACGACGGGCACCACGUCCAGCUCUGCGGGGAGGCGAGGCUCCGCUGCGUCGUCUGCGGCGAGAAGGCGAGGACCUUCUCGUCGAGCAGGAAGCUGUGGGCGUACCGGUGGCGCUACAACGGCGCGGAAGGGUACCUGCACGUGGCGUGCUGAAGAAGGUCGCUGUCCAGAGCUGGGAGGAGGCCUAUCAAGACGGCAGCGUCUUGGAGGCGAGCGUACCGAUCAUGAAGGGCGUGCUGCGGCGGCGCUCGCCCGGGGAGGCGGGGUCGUCGGCGACGAGCAGCGGGAUCGAGCUGGGCAUCCUCGGGAUGGAGCUCGCCAACAACAUCGCUGACUCGCGUUAGUCUCGGUAGCGACAUCAUCCAAGUGAUAAACGGGAACCCCUGGGCCCUGGCCAUGAUCGAUCGAGGGGAUGCAUGCAUCAUAUCCGGUUUUUACAUAUAAGAUUAUUGCUUGAUUUAGACAUUUUCGUAUUGGGGCUAUGCUAAGGUACUCCAGUUACCUUCCAGGAGGUAAGAUCUCAACUGAAUCUCAAGAUUUUUGAGGGAGAAAUCAAUUUAAAAUAUAAAAAACAAAAAAGAUUUGUUACUCGUAAAAUAGUAAUUAUCUUGUAUGCAUUCAUGCAUGCAGAUCUACAAAUCAUGCAUGGUUCUGGAGGUAUAUAUCAUUUAUCUAUGGUCGACAUGAACCAUCUAUUUUCUGGUAGUGUGUAUAUGUAUCAUUUUUUAUCAAUGAAAUCAUCGUGUGAUCAUCUAUUUC